ensembl:snRNA U6 U6 spliceosomal RNA
GUGCUUGCUUUAGCAUUACAUAUGCUAAAAUUGGAAUGAUGCAGUGAUUAACAGAGCCCCUGCUCAAUGAUAAAAUGCAAAAUUAUGAAGAUUUCUGUAUUUUA